GCUAAGAAUAUUCCGCAAUGGGGGAAACCCUGACGGAGCGACGCCGCGUGGAUGAUGAAGGCCGGAAGGUUGUAAAGUCCUUUUGGGCGCAAAGAAUAAGUACGCGAGGAAAUGCGCGUGCGGUGACGGUAGCGCCUGAAUAAGCAACGGCUAAUUACGUGCCAGCAGCCGCGGUAACACGUAAGUUGCGAGCGUUGUUCGGAAUUAUUGGGCGUAAAGGGCAUGUAGGCGGUCGUGCAAGCUUGGUGUGAAAUCCCGGGGCUUAACUCCGGGACUGCGUUGAGAACUGCACGGCUAGAGUAACUGAGGGGCAGCCGGAAUUCCAGGUGUAGGGGUGAAAUCUGUAGAUAUCUGGAAGAACACCAAUGGCGAAGGCAGGCUGCCAGCAGAUUACUGACGCUGAGGUGCGAAGGUGCGGGGAGCAAACAGGAUUAGAAACCCCUGUAGUCC
rnacentral:rRNA from 1 species